rnacentral:tRNA from 3 species
UGGGGUGUAGCCAAGCGGUAAGGCACAGGGUUUUGAUCCCUGCAUACCUAGGUUCGAAUCCUAGCACCCCAGCCA